AUAUUAUAGGAUACUGCGAACGCUGAAAAUGAUUCAUCUGACAGUGCUAAUAAUGCUCCUGAACUAGCUGACGAAAGAAUUGCGGAUCUUGAAAGUAUUGGUCUGACUCGAUGCAGCAGGGUAUCCAUCAGCAAAUUUAUUUGCGAUGUAAUGCACCCUGCAAUCAAAUUAUUCACGCCUCAGGAACUUCAGGACUCCACAUUGACCGGAAAGAAAGCUAAAUGCUUCAAUAAAAUAGAGGAAGCCGUCAGCCGUGGUUAAACAACAGUUGGAUCCUAUUAGAGUCGAGUAUAUGUUGAAGAAGGUCAACGAAUAUUUCUGUAAACUGGUGCCAAAUGAGGUGGAACGUGUAAAACAGUUUAAAACGGCGAUCAAACGACGAAAGCUUAAUAAUGCGUCCAAGCCAAUGAAGUAGUUUGGAAAUAUAAUUUAGAUAUCUAUUAAAUAUUUAUAUCGUUUAAAGUUCCUAUAUUAUAUGUUAGGUUGACUAUAAAUUUUUAAC